GCGAUACAGGGUGACAGCCCCGUACACAAAAAUGCACAUAUUGUGAGCUCGAUGAGUAGGGCGGGACACGUGGUAUCCUGUCUGAAUAUGGGGGGACCAUCCUCCAAGGCUAAAUACUCCUGACUGACCGAUAGUGAACCAGUACCGUGAGGGAAAGGCGAAAAGAACCCCGGCGAGGGGAGUGAAAAAGAACCUGAAACCGUGUACGUACAAGCAGUGGGAGCCUCUUAAUGGGGUGACUGCGUACCUUUUGUAUAAUGGGUCAGCGACUUAUAUUCUGUAGCAAGGUUAACCGAAUAGGGGAGCCGAAGGGAAACCGAGUCUUAACUGGGCGUUAAGUUGCAGGGUAUAGACCCGAAACCCGGUGAUCUAGCCAUGGGCAGGUUGAAGGUUGGGUAACACUAACUGGAGGACCGAACCGACUAAUGUUGAAAAAUUAGCGGAUGACUUGUGGCUGGGGGUGAAAGGCCAAUCAAACCGGGAGAUAGCUGGUUCUCCCCGAAAGCUAUUUAGGUAGCGCCUCGUGAAUUCAUCUCCGGGGGUAGAGCACUGUUUCGGCAAGGGGGUCAUCCCGACUUACCAACCCGAUGCAAACUGCGAAUACCGGAGAAUGUUAUCACGGGAGACACACGGCGGGUGCUAACGUCCGUCGUGAAGAGGGAAACAACCCAGACCGCCAGCUAAGGUCCCAAAGUCAUGGUUAAGUGGGAAACGAUGUGGGAAGGCCCAGACAGCCAGGAUGUUGGCUUAGAAGCAGCCAUCAUUUAAAGAAAGCGUAAUAGCUCACUGGUCGAGUCGGCCUGCGCGGAAGAUGUAACGGGGCUAAACCAUGCACCGAAGCUGCGGCAGCGACGCUUAUGCGUUGUUGGGUAGGGGAGCGUUCUGUAAGCCUGUGAAGGUGUGCUGUGAGGCAUGCUGGAGGUAUCAGAAGUGCGAAUGCUGACAUAAGUAACGAUAAAGCGGGUGAAAAGCCCGCUCGCCGGAAGACCAAGGGUUCCUGUCCAACGUUAAUCGGGGCAGGGUGAGUCGACCCCUAAGGCGAGGCCGAAAGGCGUAGUCGAUGGGAAACAGGUUAAUAUUCCUGUACUUGGUGUUACUGCGAAGGGGGGACGGAGAAGGCUAUGUUGGCCGGGCGACGGUUGUCCCGGUUUAAGCGUGUAGGCUGGUUUUCCAGGCAAAUCCGGAAAACCAAGGCUGAGGCGUGAUGACGAGGCACUACGGUGCUGAAGCAACAAAUGCCCUGCUUCCAGGAAAAGCCUCUAAGCAUCAGGUAACAUCAAAUCGUACCCCAAACCGACACAGGUGGUCAGGUAGAGAAUACCAAGGCGCUUGAGAGAACUCGGGUGAAGGAACUAGGCAAAAUGGUGCCGUAACUUCGGGAGAAGGCACGCUGAUAUGUAGGUGAAGCGACUUGCUCGUGGAGCUGAAAUCAGUCGAAGAUACCAGCUGGCUGCAACUGUUUAUUAAAAACACAGCACUGUGCAAACACGAAAGUGGACGUAUACGGUGUGACGCCUGCCCGGUGCCGGAAGGUUAAUUGAUGGGGUUAGCGGCAACGCGAAGCUCUUGAUCGAAGCCCCGGUAAACGGCGGCCGUAACUAUAACGGUCCUAAGGUAGCGAAAUUCCUUGUCGGGUAAGUUCCGACCUGCACGAAUGGCGUAAUGAUGGCCAGGCUGUCUCCACCCGAGACUCAGUGAAAUUGAACUCGCUGUGAAGAUGCAGUGUACCCGCGGCAAGACGGAAAGACCCCGUGAACCUUUACUAUAGCUUGACACUGAACAUUGAGCCUUGAUGUGUAGGAUAGGUGGGAGGCUUUGAAGUGUGGACGCCAGUCUGCAUGGAGCCGACCUUGAAAUACCACCCUUUAAUGUUUGAUGUUCUAACGUGGGCCCCUAAUCCGGGUUGCGGACAGUGUCUGGUGGGUAGUUUGACUGGGGCGGUCUCCUCCUAAAGAGUAACGGAGGAGCACGAAGGUUGGCUAAUCCUGGUCGGACAUCAGGAGGUUAGUGCAAUGGCAUAAGCCAGCUUGACUGCGAGCGUGACGGCGCGAGCAGGUGCGAAAGCAGGUCAUAGUGAUCCGGUGGUUCUGAAUGGAAGGGCCAUCGCUCAACGGAUAAAAGGUACUCCGGGGAUAACAGGCUGAUACCGCCCAAGAGUUCAUAUCGACGGCGGUGUUUGGCACCUCGAUGUCGGCUCAUCACAUCCUGGGGCUGAAGUAGGUCCCAAGGGUAUGGCUGUUCGCCAUUUAAAGUGGUACGCGAGCUGGGUUUAGAACGUCGUGAGACAGUUCGGUCCCUAUCUGCCGUGGGCGCUGGAGAACUGAGGGGGGCUGCUCCUAGUACGAGAGGACCGGAGUGGACGCAUCACUGGUGUUCGGGUUGUCAUGCCAAUGGCACUGCCCGGUAGCUAAAUGCGGAAGAGAUAAGUGCUGAAAGCAUCUAAGCACGAAACUUGCCCCGAGAUGAGUUCUCCCUGAGACUUAGAGUCUCCUGAAGGAACGUUGAAGACGACGACGUUGAUAGGCCGGGUGUGUAAGCGCAGCGAUGCGUUGAGCUAACCGGUACUAAUGAACCGUGAGGCUUAACCUU
rnacentral:rRNA from 2 species